rnacentral:rRNA from 1 species
GAAUUCAACUCCUACGGGAGGCAGCAGUGGGGAAUUUUGGACAAUGGGCGCAAGCCUGAUCCAGCCAUGCCGCGUGGGUGAAGAAGGCCUUCGGGUUGUAAAGCCCUUUUGUUGGGAAAGAAAAGCAGUCGGUUAAUACCCGAUUGUUCUGACGGUACCCAAAGAAUAAGCACCGGCUAACUUCGUGCCAGCAGCCGCGGUAAUACGAAGGGUGCAAGCGUUACUCGGAAUUACUGGGCGUAAAGCGUGCGUAGGUGGUGGUUUAAGUCUGUUGUGAAAGCCCUGGGCUCAACCUGGGAAUUGCAGUGGAUACUGGGUCACUAGGGUGUGGUAGAGGGUAGCGGAAUUCCCGGUGUAGCAGUGAAAUGCGUAGAGAUCGGGAGGAACAUCCGUGGCGAAGGCGGCUACCUGGACCAACACUGACACUGAGGCACGAAAGCGUGGGGAGCAAACAGGAUUAGAAACCCCAGUAGUCAGGCGUU